CGGGGGGAGCAAGCGUUGUUCGGAUUUACUGGGCGUAAAGGGCGCGUAGGCGGCCUCUGCAAGUCGACUGUGAAAUCUCCGGGCUUAACCCGGAAAGGUCAGCCGAUACUGCAGGGCUAGAGUGCAGAAGGGGCAACUGGAAUUCUCGGUGUAGCGGUGAAAUGCGUAGAUAUCGAGAGGAACACCUGCGGCGAAGGCGGGUUGCUGGGCUGACACUGACGCUGAAGUGCGAAAGCUAGGGGAGCGAACGGGAUUAGAUACCCCGGUAGUCCUAGCCUUAAACGAUGAAUGCUUGGUGUCUGGGGUUUUAUAGUCCCCGGGUGCCGUCGCUAACGCUUUAAGCAUUCCGCCUGGGGAGUACGGUCGCAAGACUG
rnacentral:rRNA from 1 species